rnacentral:rRNA from 1 species
GAGUGGUUUCCGUUGUCGGCCUCGUGGCUUGUGCAUAGGAAACCAUUCAUCCUUCUGUUAACGUUUCUUGGUAUUCAGUUACUGGUUUCGGGCUCAGAUAUUUUACCUUGAGAAAAAUAGAGUGUUUCAGGCAGGCUUGCGCCGGAAUACAUUAGCAUGGAAUAAUAGAAUAGGACUUUGGUCUCCUUUGUUGGUUUGAGAGGCUAAAGUA